ACGACUGCUUCUUCUUCUGUCAUUGCCCACAAGGUAUUCAAAAUGCCAGACAUAAAGUCAUUCCUGCACUUGAUAAGAAGGCAUGGAUGUGCCUGGCCAGAAGGAAGACGUGAUAUUCUUAUCAAAGUUCUUGACAUCACUGUGUCCUUGUAAAACAGUAGGUUGAAGAUGCAGCUGAGAUGUCACACCAUGAAGAUGGCAUGCAACUGCUUAUGUGGAAACCUGGCAAAGUACACAGGCAUAAAGAAAAUGUGAUCUUCGGCCAUGCUGUAUGAUUUUGACCUCCAGGGGGCUAGAGCCUGAGUAGCCAAGGCUGUAGACACAGGCAAACUUCCUCAUCCUUUCCUUGGCUUCCGAACAGAAGGGAACCUCUUGAACACUCCUGGCUCAUACAAAUGGAUUGGUUUUAGAUUCCUGUCUCUCUUCCGAUUGGACCGAGGCCACAUAUUCUGAUUCUGUGGAUCAGUAGGACCCAGCCUCCAGUCUCUUGGGCAUCUAUCUAUAAUUAAAAGCCCUGGAUUGGCCAGGCUAUCUCCCAGAAGAAUUGAAGACAAAUGCCUUUUUUAAAUGACUACAAAAUUUGAGAUGCCUGGUUGGCAGUCAGUUAAGUGUCUAACUCUUCAUUUUCUCUGAGUUUGUGAUCUCAGGAUCCUGAAAUCAAGUCCUUGGUUGGGUUUCCCGCCUAGCAGAGUCAGCUUGGAUUCUCUCUCCCUCUCCCUCUGGCUCUCCUGCUUGUACUCUCUCUCUCUCUGUCUCUCUAAAAUAAAUAAAUAAGUCUUUUUUUAAAAUGACUACAAAAUUUUAGGGGUAAUGUGUAACUUUUAUAUAAACUUGGACAGUGAGGUAAAAUUUGCCUAUUCUACUCUGCUGUCUUUCUCUCAUGCAUGCAUACACAUGAAAUGGAAAAAAUGGAGAGACUGAGUGACAUAAAAAUAAAACAUUGUUCUAGGAUACAAUAUCUGUAAAAAAAUUUGACAACAAAAU